AGCUGGCUGUUGCUAAGCAGCCGUGGGGCGGAGCAUACCUGGCUGUUCCCAGGUAGCUGUGGGGGUGGAGCUUAGACAGAUUACCAACACCAGCUACUUUUUAAAAAAGUUAUUAAUUAAUUAAUAUUUAUUUAUUUAUUUAUUUUUACCAGGCAGUGAUGGUGCAGUCCCAGCACUCAAGAAGCAGAGCAAGCAAAUCUCUGAGUUCAAGGCCAGCCUGGUCUAAAGAGUGAGUUCCAGGACAGCCAGGACUAUACAGAGAAACCCUGCCUCAAAAACUCUUGUUGUUGUUAUUAUUAUUAUUGUUGUUAUUACUGUUACCGUUAUUAUUUUUUUACAAGUAUUUUGUGUGUACUCAUACCCACACAUGCCACAGGACAUAUGUGGAACUCAGAGAACAACUUGAGGCAGUUGGCUCUCUCCUUCCACCACACGGGCUCCAGGUUUGGCAGGCAUCUGUGCCGUCUCACCUGGCCCCCCAAACUACUCUUCGUCAUGCGAACUGAGCCUUACCAUUCAGUGAGGCUCUGAAUUCCAGAGUUGUCUGUGGGUCAAGGCUGGUGGCAGCCAGUCACGGAGAUGACAAAGAGCUGUUAGCACUGCGGUCAGCGCCGAGGUCAGUGAGUAGGAAGGAGAGAAGACCUCUUUGUCCCUGCUGGGAAAGGUUACCUCACGGCUGUCUGACUUCUCCGAAUUGUGUACGGCUUCGUAUUAGAACAGGCAAACACCUUCAAGAUCAUGCGACACCCCACCCCCCACUUUGAGCGUCUUUACAGGAAAUUUGCACACAGAACCGGGCGCCCGUGACUUCAUGGUGAGAGCUUCUAAUUUGUUAUCUGUUCCCUGUAGGUUUGGGAUUCAGGGCAUGUAUGAAAAGACACACAAACACAUUCCCACUGAGACAUCAGGGCUAGCCAGCCAGCAGAGUGGGCCCUUCACUGAGCUCCCCGUGCAGCCCACGGCCGGGAACAAACACCGCCACAUGGCGUUCUGUGAGCAAAACCGACACAUGGUGCAAUCUGUAGUCGCCGAUGCCAGCACUAAUUGAACGGAUGCUUUCCGAACACUUGUUCACGAGUCACAGAUGCCACAGAAAAACAUUCCUUACGCUCAGGCAGUGUCUUCAGGAGGCCUGGGGGCGGGGUUGGGGGUCCUGAAGCUGAGAGCAGCCAUUACGUCAUCACCCCUUCGCCUGGCCUUUGUGAUGUCAAACAGCCACGUGGGGUUUCCGUUCGAUUUAGUCUUUGAAUGAGCCUGCAUUGGUUCCCUGGUGUGCUGGCUCUGCAGCUUUGGUGUGUCUGGGGCUGCAGCUCCUCUAGGGUCUGGGUGAAGGGAGCUUCCUUUCCCGGUAAGGGGAUCUCGCGGUCUCCUUCUCUUGAGCUCUCGGCACUUGCUCCCCAAGUGCCCCAAUCCACACACCUCUCGUUACGUCAUAAACAGUGGCUGCUCACAUGGAUAGCUUCGAGGUGAAGACACACACACCAUGCCUACUGGGUGACCAGUGCCUCGGGCAGGGGUAUCGAUAGGUGGUUUCAGGCUGACUGUGCACAUGGGACCUGCCCUCCAGAAGAAGAGUAAAGGAGGCUUCCUCAAGGCCCCUCCUGCCCCAGGGUGACAUGAGACCAGGCCUGAGCCCUUGGCCAGCCCUGACCUUGAGGCCCAUGCAGCUAGGCCUGUGGUAAGCAGGAAGCCACGCCGUACCACGUCCUUGUUCCCCAGGUACAAAUCUGGACUGACUUUUCUGGAACACACCGUCAUCUCCAGGGAAGUGGGAAGUCAGGAAGCAGCAUCCUGGAGAGUGACCAGGAUUCUCUAGAGCCUCUCCAGGGACAGGCUGACGGGGUUUAUCCCGUCAUCCCACACUGUGGUGAGCUCUCAGCCUAGAACCAGUCCUAGGAAGACGUUCAUUUCAUCACGUGUUAUUCCAGUGUAGAGAACAAGGAGCCAGACAGCUCCAGGCUCUGUGUCCUGGGGCGGGACACUGGCCAGCUUAUAUCGUGUCAGCAUUGGCCACAGAGUUCAAGCUCCACUGGGCCGUCUGGGGUCAGAAGCCAAGAGCAAUGGAAAAGUGAAAUUAUCAACACGGGAGAGGAGAGGCACCUGCCUGUUCCCUCCCUGAGCAGACACCUGAGGACACUGACCUAGCUGGUGCCAUGGGCUCAGAGUCCGUGUGCUUAGGUGCUGUGAGCGCACACUCUAAAUACACACACACGCACACGUGCACACACACAGAGACACAUACACACACACACUCUAAAUACACACACACGUACACACACUAAAUACACACACACGCACACGUGCACACACACAGAGACACAUACACACACACACACACUCUAAAUACACACACACAAACACACACACGUACGUUGGGUGCAGAUUCCAAGAACAAUGUCCCACGUUGGACGUUUUCCAAGCCAAAAAUAAAAAUACUAAAAGAGACUAAAGCAAGGAGACCAAGCUUGGAUUUGCGGUCAACUUCAGUGAGCCAAGGUAUGGGAGGUGGAUGUUGGUGACUAGCGUGCACCAAAGUUUAGAUAGAUGGAACCAGGACUUGAAUUGUCUUUUGGGUCCUGGUCUCCCUGGGUGUCAUGUGCCCUCCUGUGGUCAAGCCUUGCAUCUAUCAGAGACCACAGUGUCUGCGGCUCCCCUGAGAAGGAGACCUGUGGUGGCAAGUUUGGCGUUUAGGUUUCUUAAAAAAAAACAAAAAACAAAACAAACAAACAAAAAAACCAAGAAAACCCAAAAAUAUUAUAAGAACGUUUUCACUUGAACCCCAGGUGUGGGAUACGGGGCUGCUUCAGACCGUCCACAGCUGCUGACUGAUUUGCCUCGUGCUCUAACAGGGGUGUGAUUUGGCCAGCUGCAGACAGCUUCUACGAUUGGGUGAUGAACCGUGGGACUUUUCAGAGGGUGUAUACAUGCUAGGGCCCCGAGAGGCACCGUGGGUUGUUGUUGGUUCACCGUUGGUCAUGGUUUGUUAAGUAGUCAUUUACAAAGAAUAAACAAGAAGAAGUUAGAUAUCCUGACAAUGAAGAUUAAACUUGCCCCAAGGAACUCAAUGCCCUUCGCCAGUCCUCUCCUAUCUAGUGUUAGGGGGCUUGAAAGGGUAGAAAAGGAUGGUGGUGGUGGGGAGGAGAACCUACAAAGAAGUAAAAGACAGAAACACCCACCUUCUUCUGCAGCUACAGACCAACAACCUGCAGUCAUUCGCGUUUCCUAGCAGAAUGCCCAGGUCCCAUGGACUCUUAGAUUAGUCCAGCUAGUCCUAGAGCUGGGACAGCCAGGGGCUCUGUGUCCCUGGGUCGGGGGGGGUGUCUUGGGUAUGAAAACAGAUCUCCUGAAUCCUGCCUUGGGGGCUGUGUCCUAGGACCUAAGAGGUAUACAUGACGGGCGGCCUGUCUGAUGGCUUUAGAAGCAGAGGAACGGAAGAGGCCGCCCGAUUUUGUGUUACUGGCCUUGUGGCUUAGUUGUUGAUCAAAGACUAAAGAGUCCUCACCCUGUUCCUUCAGGAUACUCUGUGCUAGUGGCCCUAGCGCCAACUGAGUCCUGAGGGAAAUACAAACCCUCCACCUUAACCCACUGAUGAUUCAUGCACAGGUUUGAGAAGCCGUGCCCCAUAACUAAACUCACCUUCGUGAAGCACAGAUUGACGCCUGAGGGAAAAUAUCUGUGGAGCCUAAGGUAAAUCGAACCUCUCCGCUUUGCCUUGAGAGCUCCACUCCUGGGGUCUUGCGCCACUCCUGACUGGAGAAUGCAGUGACCUUUGUCCAGCCUGUACAAUGAUGCCAGUCCGAAGGCCGUAGUUUCUCUGUAGUCUGCCACAGAGAAGAGCACAUCACUGUAAUGGUUGACUGUGUCUUGCUAGAUGUGGCAGUAAUGGGGACAAGUGUCCUUAGCCCUGUAAUCAGACUUCCAGGAGGACAUCCACAGCUCCUCGCUGGCCUCCUUGAAGUUACCUAUCUACUUCAGUUGUACGUCUCUUCCACUGGCUGACCUGUUGUUAUAGCUUCUUUAUAUCCUUGAGGGCAACCAAAAGUGAAGUCCCGUGUGAGAGGGAAUAGCAACUUUCUCCUCAUGGGGACAUCCUGUGUCCCUGGACUCAUGCUAACACAGCCUCUGAUCCAGGGGUUGGGUAGUCUGCCUACAGAGAGCUUUUGUAGAGAUGUUCAAUGUCUAGCCACAAGCCAGGGUUCCCUCUCUGGCCCACCCUCGCUGUAUGUUUAAUGAGGAGGGCAGUGACUUAACUGUGUGGUGCCACAUGGCACACAGGUGGCAUACUGUAACCAACCGUGCCCGCCUAGAGCCUGGCGUGACUGGACUUAGACCAGUCCUGGCUAGAGCUGACUGGAAAUACCUGGCAUGGGACUGCAUUUGUCAAUUGCUCAUGAGAACUUAGGCUCCUGGUCAGUACUAUGUAAGCUUUGAAGCUUUGGAUGGAUAAAAUUAUUUCAGGGUCACUCAUCCAUCAAGUCGUCUGCCUCUCAAGAGCUGUGCUAACUGCUUUGUUUGUGACCUAUAAAAUACUGCACAUGUGGUGCUUUGAAUGAGAACAGUUCCCAUAGGCUCCUAUAGCUUAUGUAUCUGAAUGCUUAGUCUGGAGUUGGUGCAACUGUUUUGGAAGGAUUAAGAGGUGUGUCCUUGUUGGAAGAGGUGCCACUGGGUAUGAGUUUUUGUGGAGGGGGGAUGUAGAGGUCAACCUUGUGAAGGAAAGAAGUGGGAUGGAGAACGAGGUGCCAUAGGCUCUUUGAAGAGGCCUGAUCGGCCAUGCAUUAGAUCUAAACUAGCUCCGAGCACACUGGUGAGACAGCAGAAGGGAAUCCAGGCCAGGGAGGUGGCUGCUUCCCGCAUUUUCACAGAAGUCCUCCCAGGUGAUGAUACUCCCUACACUCCUGAGUUACCUCAUUAGGCAGGGCUUUCAAUGUUGACCUAUGAUUGGCUAAGGAUUUAGGGACUGGGCAGUACACUCAGAUCUGCACUCUGAUGUCUCUGGGAUACAUCACAUGACUCUGUCGCCUCUCACCCUCCACCCUCGGUCCUAUCACCACAGGCUUUGAGGUUCUAAGAGACCCUUGUUGUUCCCAGUGAGCUCUCAUUCUCUGCCUCAUUCUUUGCCUCAGCUACUGUUCGGGCUCAACGUCCGCCUGCUGCCUUGCUGCUCACCAAGAUGGUUGGCCAUGGGCCUUACCGCCCGCCGGAACCUUGAGCUCCAGUUAAAUACUUUGUUGCUGCUGCUGCUGUUGCCUUGGAGAUGGCCUCUCUUCACAGCAACUGAAAAGCGAAGGUGGAAAUCCUUAUAAACAGAAAAUGGAGUUGCGCCCAUUGUUCCGCGAGGCUCCCGGGGGCCACCUGAAGUCAGAUCCUGAAAGCUGGGCCGUAGCUUUUCCAGCUGGAGGAGGUUACCACAUCUCAGUAGGAGGGACACACCGUGUGUUUUUGCUGAAGCUUGGUGCCCAGACUCCCACAACCUGAAGGUGGUCAAGAAAGUCUUCCAACUUGGCCAGCAGUUACACUCCCAAGUUGCAGAGAUCACGGCACAGCACCAUUUGUGAAGUCUGAGGGACGAUCAGGACCCACUGUUCAAAAAGAAACCUUUUGAAGCACAAGAAGAAACCUCCUCAACACCGUAUUUAGCUGUAGGAAACAUCUUCAGAUGAAGUAAGCACAAGGAUGGGCAGCCCCAGCUGUGACCGUGUGGCCAAUGACGGGGGCACAGCACAGAACAGCCGCCUCCCCACUUUCAGGGCCUGCUGCAUUUUUCUGUUUAAAUGAGUGCCCAGUGCUCAGGCAGGAGGAGACGCUGGGCAGAUGGGCUGACACGGAAGCCACGUGGCUGUGCUCUGGAGUACACGAGAGCGUGCAAGUCCACUGGUAAGAUCCUUACUCUGCUAAUGUCAUCGGCAGUAAAACUGACAGCUCAGCGCACACUGUCUGCAGCUCAGAGCCUAGAGGGUCCUGACUGUUGUCUAUGCUCGGCCCAGGGACUGGCACAAUUAGAAGGUGUGGCUGUGCUGGAGGAGGUGUGACACUGUGACACUGUGGGCAUGUACUCCCUCAUCCUAGCUGUCUGAGAGCCAGUAUUCUGCUAGCAGCCUUCAGAUGAAGAUGUAGAACUCUCAGCUCAGCCUGUACCAUGCCUGCUUGGAUGUCGCCAUGUUCCCACAUUGAUGAUAAUGGACUGAACCCGUGACCCUAGAAGCCAGCCCCAAAUAUAUGCUGUCCUUUAGAAGACUGCCUUGGUCACGGUGUCUGUUCAUAGCAGUAAAACCCUAACUAAGACACUGAGUAAAUGUGAGGGGGAGAGGUCCCUGGUAGGAUCCAGGAAGGAUCAGGAGAAAUAAGGUUAGAGAAAUACAGCAAAAGAUACAAGAACAGGUCCUUACAACACCUUUCUAAAGCCAGGGAGAGAUAGCCUCGCGGCAGGCAAGCAUUCUAGUGGUGGCCCACAGAGCACUCAGGAGAACACAGAAUGGUCAAUACCUCAACAUGGCAACUUCAGUGAAUCUAACAGACCCAGUACGUCUUGACAGUAGGUACAUUAAAAAAACCAGGAAUGGCUGGGAAGAAGUCUACAGUAAAAAGCUGAUGGCCCAACCCUCAGGUGUUAGAACCUAAGACUGCAAAGUGCCUUAGAGGCCACUGCACAGGCUGAAGCCCCAGCUCACAAGCUACGUCAGGCUCUUUUGAAGACACCGCUUCCAGCAAACAACGCUGAUGCUUAACCAGAAGCCGGUCACAAUACACUUACAUGGAAAGACAUUUUACUACCUAAAAACUAAAGACAGAAACAUCAAAGAUGCGCACGUGAAGCACCCAUGCCUUUAAUCCUAGCACUGGGAGACAGACAGGUAGAUAGAUCUCUGAGUGUGUCAGGCAGUGAAGGCUACGCAGUGAGACUCGACUCCAGAACAAAACCCGAACCCAACCACCAGACGAGAAUGCCACAGAAACCCACGUCAAAGACAGUGACAAAGUGAUCUAAAGGCUAAAAAUGUGGAAGGUACCUGAGCCUGUUUCCAGUGUUACUGUCCACAUCCUGGAGACCACACAGGGGAGGACAGCAGCACCACAUGUGCCUCCACUGGGUGCCUGCUACAGUGAGGGGGAGACUGCGGGAAGCGGGCAACACUGACCGAAGGAGGACCUUCACUCUUUGUGAGAAAAGCUCACACAGACAGAGAUGGCUACUGUCAAAUGCUGGUGCCAUCUGGUGACUUUCCACUGUCAAGCAGCAACACACACUUCAUGACUCCUGGACUGCCAUCAGUCACAAGUGUAGUUCUGUAUGGGAACUGACUCCCAGUGAGUUCAAGGGUCAGCACUGUUGGGCCUCCUCCUUUCUCUAGUGCCAACCCCUAUUCCCCAGCCCACCCCCGAGAAGGCAGGGAAAUUUGGUUUAUACUUUGGAAAAUUUUCCUACUUCCUCCUGGAAUUUGCUGCACAGACUUCAGCCACACAGCCUGGUUUUGCUGUGGAGAGUUUAUUCCCUUAAGCACUUUUUUUUUUUUUUUUUUAAUACAAACUUCUUCAUGGGGAGAGGUCAUGAGAUAGGAUAUCAAGUAGCCAAGGCUGCUCUGGGACUCUCAGUCCUCUGGCCUUUGCCUCCCUGGAAUUACUCAUAUGCCACCACACUAAGCUUAACUCUGAUAACAGUAGGCAGAGUAUAAACACCACUUUUUUCUGUCCUUUAGAAAAUCCUGUGAAGGUCAAAUUGUUUUUUAAAAUUUUUACUGUUUUAACUGGUUUUAAAAGUUAUGCGUAUAAGUAAAAGGAAUGUAAAGGUGGAGUACUGUUUCUGACCAAAAGCCAAAAGAUGAACUAAUUUAAAUUUUAAAUGAGAAAGGAUAGACACUGGAGGCAAUCUGUAAACAGGCUUCUUCUCACUUGCAGGGCACUGGCUUGAUAAGACUCUUUCCACACAGCCUCUGGGCAGCCUAGGGCGGCCUAAGCUGUAGCACCCACACCACUGGCCCCACGAGAGUGCAGGCAGUCACCGCUCAGCUCUAGUGGGCGCUAUCUCCUGUAAUGCCCACAGGAAGCACACUGGUGGGUGCUGUUUUAUUUGUCUGAAUCUCGAGGAGUUGACUCUCAUAGGCUCUAAGCACAGGGGCAGUGUCUGAGCCAUGGUGACAGAUCAGAGGGACUGCAUUACCUUUAGAAUAAGUGACUCUUCCUGAAACACAGGGAUCAGGCAGCACACGAGGACAUGUGUCUGGGAUGUGACUCCAUGGACACAAAGCAGCAGAGCACAUGGCUUCCCCAGAGAUGGUAAGACCAGAAGAGGACAGACAGAUUGAACCAACAAGACCACAAGGGAAACAGACAGGCCCAUGGGAGGAGGAGACAGACAGAUGGCGAGCAGGUCCACAGUGAGAACAGCAGGCCAGAUCUUCAGUGAGGAUUCCUAGCAUGGACAGCCGGACUAGGCCAGCAUGAGAGACCCAGGCAGAGCUUCAUAGGAAGUGAAGCGCAGGCUCCACUCGGCUAAAGCAAUGUUUGCAGCACUACAGUUUAAAAUACACCACAAGAAAAUUUAGGUUAAUUAAAAAUUACCUCAAAAAUUACAAACAGACAGCUGUAGGCCACAGCAAUAAAUGUCUACAACUGAGAUGUUUCGCUUCCUCUUAGUGUAACAUCCAAUAUUUAUAUUUUGUUCUUACAACCAGCUGCACAAUUCCAUAGAGAAAUAUUAGCAGAUUUAAUUCUGGAACAUCUGAAAGCUUGAAAACAGCAUAUCAAAUUCAAUGUGGUAGAAGGAUAUAAAUAUGAAUAAUAGAUGUAAAUUUCCUCCCCAAUAUUUCAGCUUUCUGGAUUCACUGUUGUCACAGCAUACAUGGACCAGUACCAAGGUUUAUUAUUCAAAAAGAUGCAGAACUAUUUUAAUAAACACAGUGCUGCUUUACAGCACGUCGAAUGCUUUAAGAGUCACUGGCAUCUCAAGUGU